rnacentral:misc_RNA from 1 species
GUUCCUAGCAAAGGGUUAUAGCCAGAUAAUGCAUUAUAAUUCUUACAUCGAUACUUUGUAUUGUUAAACACUGCAGUGUAGAUUAUACAUGCUAAAAUGAACCGUUUUACGGUAAAUCAAAUCAAAUUGUGAAAAUGAUUAUUCAUAUUGGCAAAGGGAAGGGAAAGAUGUAAAUUAUGGAGCUUGAUGUCUUUCAUGUUCUCUAAAUUACAAUUAACAAAUAAAUUAAAAGGAUACUUCAAAUGGUACACGCUUUCCCCUUGUUUGGAAUGUAGGGUUUUACAAGAAUUCAAUUGGUAAUUGGUAUUAUUAAUCCAAUGUUAGUGGUGGCAACCAUCAAAUGAAUUGGACUUUUCUUUUGAUAAGCAAGAAAUUUCAUUAAAGAAAAAGAAGAUACAGAAGAUGAGGAGAGCUGCAACCUAGCCCAUGCCAACAGGCAUUCCCCACAAGACCCGACCUAAAGCAGCAACCUCCUCACCCCAAUAAGAACAAAAACAGGCUAAAGUCAUAUCAGAUCAACAAAGACACAGCAAAAUCCAGACAAUUCUACAAGAAAGCUAUGAAGACAUGCAAGAGUGACCCUGGUUAGCUAAACAAAAGGCGGUCAAAUUUGCUACACUUAGAAAAAGACACACAUGUAUAAACCUCUGUGAUCACGGA